UACGUAGGGGGCAAGCGUUGUCCGGAUUUAUUGGGCGUAAAGAGCGUGUAGGCGGCUGGGUAGGUCCGUUGUGAAAACUCGAGGCUCAACCUCGAGACGCCGAUGGAAACCCUCCAGCUAGAGUCCGGAAGAGGAGAGUGGAAUUCCUGGUGUAGCGGUGAAAUGCGCAGAUAUCAGGAAGAACACCCGUGGCUAAGGCGGUUAGCUGGGGUCGGACUGACGCUGAGGCGCGACAGCGUGGGGAGCAAACAGG
rnacentral:rRNA from 1 species